rnacentral:rRNA from 1 species
CUACGGGGUGCUCCAGUGGGGAAUAUUGCACAAUGGAGGAAACUCUGAUGCAGCAACGCCGCGUGGAGGAUGACACUUUUCGGAGCGUAAACUCCUUUUAUAUAGGAAGAAGAUGACGGUACUAUAUGAAUAAGCGCCGGCUAACUCCGUGCCAGCAGCCGCGGUAAUACGGGGGGCGCAAGCGUUACUCGGAAUCACUGGGCGUAAAGAGCGUGUAGGCGGAUUAAAAAGUCAGAAGUGAAAUCCUAUAGCUUAACUAUAGAACUGCUUCUGAAACUCUUAAUCUAGAAUAUGGGAGAGGUAGAUGGAAUUUCUGGUGUAGGGGUAAAAUCCGUAGAGAUCAGAAGGAAUACCGAUUGCGAAGGCGAUCUACUAGAACAUUAUUGACGCUGAGACGCGAAAGCGUGGGGAGCAAACUGGAUUAGAUACCCCCGUAGUC